AGAGUUUGAUCCUGGCUCAGGACGAACGCUGGCGGUGUGCUUAACACAUGCAAGUGGUGCGACGAACCAGAGCUUGCUCUGGGGCAAAGCCGCGAACGGGUGAGUAACACGUGGGUAAUCUACCCCGAUGACCGGGACAACCCGAGGAAACUCGGGCUAAUACCGGAUGUGGUGUGGAGACAUAAGUCUCUUUACUAAAGGUAGCUUCGGCUUCCGCAUUGGGAGGGGCCCGCGGCCCAUUAGCUUGUUGGUGGGGUCAAGGCCUACCAAGGCAACGAUGGGUAGCUGGUCUGAGAGGACGAUCAGCCACACUGGGACUGAGACACGGCCCAGACUCCUACGGGAGGCAGCAGUGGGGAAUCUUGCGCAAUGCGCGAAAGCGUGACGCAGCAACACCGCGUGAGGGAAGACGGCCUUAGGGUUGUAAACCUCUUUCAGAUGGGACGAAGGUUGUCCGGUGAAUAGCCGAGGCAAUUGACGGUACCGUCAGAAGAAGCUCCGGCUAACUACGUGCCAGCAGCCGCGGUAAUA
rnacentral:rRNA from 1 species